GGGAUUCCCCUAGUAACUGCGAGUGAAGCGGGAAAAGCUCAAUAUUGUAAUCCGUCGCCCGACGGAGUUGUAGACUAGAGGCGUUUUCGGCCGCUGACUUGGAAAAGUCCCUUGGAACAGGGCGUCAUAGAGGGUGAUAAUCCCGUCUUUGCCAAGAACCCAGCGUCUAUGUGAUACGUUCUCGAGGAGUCGAGUUGUUUGGGAAUGCAGCUCAAAAGGGGUGGUAAAUUCCAUCCAAAGCUAAAUAUUGGCGAGAGACCGAUAGCGAACAAGUACCGUGAGGGAAAGAUGAAAAGCACUUUGGAAAGAGGGUUAAACAGUACGUGAAAUUGCUAAAAGGGAAGCGCUUGAAGUCAGUCGCGUGCCCAGCGGUUUGGCCUUCGGACCAGACCCGUUGGGCACGGGCCAGCAUCAAUUUUGGGCGCGGGAAAAGGGCUUGGGGAAUGUGGCAGCCUCGGCUGUGUUAUAGCCCCUUGUCGUACACCGCGCCUGGGAUUGAGGACCGCGGCAGGGGAGUGCCUAGGAUGCUGGCGUAAUGGCUUUAAGCGACCCGUCUUGAAACACGGACCAAGGAGUCUAACAUGUGUGCGAGUGUUUGGGUGUUAAACCCAUGCGCGUAAUGAAAGUGAACGUAGGUGGGAGGCAGGUGCCGCACCAUCGACCGAUCCGGAUCUUCUGUGAUGGAUUUGAGUAAGAGCAUAUAUGUUGGGACCCGAAAGAUGGUGAACUAUGCCUGAAUAGGGCGAAGCCAGAGGAAACUCUGGUGGAGGCUCGUAGCGAUUCUGACGUGCAAAUCGAUCGUCAAAUUUGGGUAUAGGGGCGAAAGACUAAUCGAACCAUCUAGUA
rnacentral:rRNA from 1 species